UACGUAGGGUGCGAGCGUUGUCCGGCAUUAUUGGGCGUAAAGAGCUUGUAGGCGGUUUGUCGCGUCUGCUGUGAAAAUCCGGGGCUCAACCCCGGACUUGCAGUGGGUACGGGCAGACUGGAGUGUGGUAGGGGAGACUGGAAUUCCUGGUGUAGCGGUGGAAUGCGCAGAUAUCAGGAGGAACACCGAUGGCGAAGGCAGGUCUCUGGGCCACUACUGACGCUGAGAAGCGAAAGCAUGGGGAGCGAACAGG
rnacentral:rRNA from 1 species